rnacentral:rRNA from 1 species
CUCUCCCUUUUAGCCAUGCUAGUCGCACGAGUUCAGACUCGUGGCGAAUAGCUCAGUAACACGUGGCCAAACUACCCUUCGGAACACAAUACCCUCGGGAAACUGAGGCUAAUAGUGUAUACCAUACCACCACUGGAAUGAGUGGUAUGCCAAACGCUCCGGCGCCGAAGGAUGUGGCUGCGGCCGAUUAGGUAGACGGUGGGGUAACGGCCCACCGUGCCAAUAAUCGGUACGGGUCAUGAGAGUGAGAACCCGGAGACGGAAUCUGAGACAAGAUCCCGGGCCCUACGGGGCGCAGCAGGCGCGAAACCUUUACACUGCACGACAGUGCGAUAGGGGGAUCCCAAGUGCACAGGCAUAGCGCCUGUGCUUUUCGGUACCGUAAGGUGGUACCAGAAUAAGGGCUGGGCAAGACCGGUGCCAGCCGCCGUGGUAAUACCGGCAGCCCAAGUGAUGGCCGAUCUUAUUGGGCCUAAAGCGUCCGUAGCUGGCCGCGCAAGUCCAUCGGGAAAUCCACCUGCUCAACAGGUGGGCGCCCGGUAGAAACUGCGUGGCUUGGGACCGGAAGGCGCGACGGGUACGUNCGGGGUAGGAGUGAAAGCCCGUAAUCCUGGACGGACCGNCAAUGGCGAAAGCACGUCNCGAGAACCGGAUCCNACAGUGAGGGACGAAAACCAGGGUNUCAACCGGAUUAAAUACCCGGGUAAGUCCUUGGCCCGUAAACAAUGUCUGC